CCUCUUUUCAUACUAUAAUCUAAAAUAAAUUUUAAAUAGAUCAAAGAAUUAAGUGUUAAAUGAGAAAAUUUUAAAGAACUAAAAGAAAUAACUCUAUAAGGAUUCAAUUCUAGUAAGGACAGGCAUAAGUAACCAAUAUAAGUGAGACAGAAAUCAUAGAGGGAAAAGGCUGAGAGAUUUUCCAAAAUUAAAAUUUUAAAACUAAUCUGUGUCCAAAGUAAGUCAUCAAGAAAACGAACAAGAAAAGAACAAACUCAAAAGAGUUUUUUGGAAUUAAACUAGAAAUCAGUAGCAGAAUAACAAAAGGAUAUUUGGAAACAAAAAACUACAAUAACCAAAAUUAAAACCUCACUAGAUGGACACCAUAGGAUAGUAGAAAUGAGAGGAUAUAAUUAGUGAACUAGAAGACAGAACAAUAAAUUUACCCAGACUGAACAGACAGAAAACAGACUGAAAAUAAAUGAACAAAACCUCAGCUAUCUGUGGGACAUUACUAGAAGAGCUAACUUUUGCAUCACCAGUGUCCCAGAAGCAAAGGAGAAAAAGUGUGGGACUAAAAAAUUAUUCAAAGAAAUGUCUAAGCUCCUCAAAUUUGGUCAAAGACAUAAAGUUACUGAUCCAAGAAAGAUUUUGGGGAUGAUGGCACCCUUCUCUCUUGAUUAUGGCAUUGGAUACAAGUCUCCGGAACUCUCAGAACUGUUUAUUAAAAAGGGUGAAUAGUACUGUAUGUAAAUUAGACCUUAAUUUUCUAAUGGGAAAAAUAAAUGUAAAGACAAAAUACACUGCUGUAUUAAAUCAAAUGAUGGAUGUAAAAGUCUAAUGUAUACAUAUUUUUAAUGACUUUGACCAAUGCUUCCAAAUUUCUCUUAAAAAAGUUUGAAUCCAGUACAUACUUCCUCGAUCAGUGAGUGAGUGUUUGAUUCCUUCUACCCUCAUCAGCACAGUGAUCCCAAGGGUCACAGUUUUAAUGAUCCCUGGCACAGUGCUGGGCACACUGUAUCGGUUUCAUAGAAUCAUGGAUUGCAAGCACACGAAGCCCCCGAAGCAACUUACUGUUCUAAUGGGGGAAGGGAUGAACGAACAUACUGUGUGUGCUGGGGAGGGGAGAUGGCCCCUGAACUCAGGGAGCUCAGGAAGUUCUAAGGACUGGGUGGGAAACAUUGAAAAAGGAAGGGUGAAUAAGGAAAACAAAACACAUCUGUGAGCUGAGAGGUCUCAAGUGACAAUCGUGUCUCAUUCCUAUGCCCCCAGUGCCUACCUAGCCCCAUGCAUAGCAAUGAGGUUGUGGGAAUGAACAAAUGAAUGAAUGAAUGAGUGAGUGAAUGAGUUGAGAGACUAUAAAAGCUUAGGGUCAGCCGAGAUAGACUUCUUUGCUUGGAGCUUGGGGGUUCAAGGUCAGUUUAAGAUUCUGGCCAUGCAAGCCUGAGGACUUUUUGCUCUGAGACCUGUUAAAAUUAAUGAAAAUGGAGACCAGGCCUGAAGAGUCCCUGAGCAGACAAAACCAGUUAGGCCUCAUAAGUAACCUCAACUUUGCUUGAUUUGCAAACAUCAGUGAAACUUCACUUGAGCUAUUUCUUGUAAAUGUGUGUAUUAAGGAAGAACAGAACUUAAGCUCAACCAAUCAGAAGCCAACAAACUUAUGUAGGUAACUAGGGUCUUUCCAACAGGAUAGGCCAAAUAAGGGAACUUUAUAACUGUAACUAAUUAAAUAUUUUCUUCAGUUUACUUGUCCUGUAGGAGUCUUCCCCUUGCAUUCCCCCAGUGGAGCUCCUCAACCUCUUCUGUUUGGAGCUGCCUGAUUCAUGAAUUGUUGUUUGCUCAAAUAAUCUGUUUAAAAUUUUAUUGUACCUCAGUUUACUUUUUGACAGUCCCAUCUAAGGAGUAGAAACAUGGCACUGGUGAGUAGGGGGAGCAUACAUAACCACGGGCGUCCAGCUGGGUCCCCACACACUGAAGGAGGAGAUGACACAGAUACUGGACAUCAGAAAUCAAUGCUUCUGAUUCUAGGCCUUGGGGUAAGUGAAGGAUGUGGUCUUGGGCCAAGUGCUGGGUCAUUUCCACUGGAGAUGGAAGCAGCACAGGCGAGACAGGGUUGAGCAGGGGGAAGUUGAAGGGGCUUGCCUGAAUGCUGACGGAGGCUGGAGGCAGGGGAGGAAGGGGCUCUUGAGAUGAGGUGGGUGAGGGAAAGCACUGUGGUGGCUUUAGGAAGCCUGCACGAGGAGCUAGGAGUCUAGAGGGAGCUGGUGAUGAGUAGAGACAACAGGAGGAGAGGCAGGGAGAGGGACAGAGGAGACACAUGGAUAGGGAAAAGGAGAGGCGGCUGGAGGGUGUGUGAGACUGUGUGCAUGGGCGUGUGUGUGUGUGUGUGUGUGUGUGUGUGUAUGAGAGAGAAAGCAAGACUAUGUGUGUGAGUGUGAGUGUAUGUGCACUCACACCCAUGUGUGAGAGUACAGGAACCCCUCCCACAACCCAAACUUUAUGGGAAACCAAACAGAUUUCAAGUAAGCCUGUAAGAGGUUAUUUACAAGAGGGAACACAAGUGACUGUUCUGAGCAGAUAGAAGCCUGGGAGAGAAAGAGAGGCA
rnacentral:lncRNA from 1 species